GUCCACGCCGUAAACGUUGGGCACUAGGUGUGGGACUCUAUCGACGGGUUCCGUGCCGUAGCUAACGCAUUAAGUGCCCCGCCUGGGUAGUACGGCCGCAAGGCUAAAACUCAAAGGAAUUGACGGGGGCCCGCACAAGCGGCGGAGCGUGUGGCUCAAUUCGAUGCAACGCGAAGAACCUUACCUGGGCUUGACAUGUACGGAAAAGCCGGUGAAAGCCGGUGUGCUUCGGCGUCGUACACAGGUGGUGCAUGGCUGUCGU
rnacentral:rRNA from 1 species